rnacentral:rRNA from 1 species
GAUGAACGCUGGCGGCGUGCCUAAUACAUGCAAGUCGAGCGAACAGACGAGGAGCUUGCUCCUCUGACGUUAGCGGCGGACGGGUUAGUAACACGUGGAUAACCUACCUAUACGACUGGGAUAACUUCGGGAAACCUGAGCUAAUACCGGAUAAUAUAUUUAACCGCAUGGUUCAAUAGUGAAAGACGGUUUUGCUGUCACUUAUAGAUGGAUCCGCUCCGCGUUCGCUAGUUGGUAAGGUAACGGCUUACCAAGGCAACGAUGCGUAGCCGACCGGAGAGGAGGAUCGGCCACACUGGAACGGAGACACGGUCCGGACUCCUACGGGAGGCAGCAGUAGAGAAUCGUCCGCAAUGGGAGAAAGCCUGACGGAGCAACGCCGCGUGAGUGAUGAAGGGCUUCGGAUCUGAAAACUCUGUUAUUAGGGAAAAACAAAUGUGUAAGUAACGAUGCACGUCUUGACGGUACCUAAUCAGAAAGCCACGGCUAACUACGUG